AAAAAAAAAAAAAAAAAAAAAAAACACUUGAAGUCAUCCUACAGUCUGUCGCCGUUCUGUCAUGAGCUGAGUUUGUUUAGGAUUGAGACGUCUCCUGUGGAACAGUAACGGCGACAAGUAACAAGCUAAUGAAUGUUCUUAAUCUUUAUAUUUGCUAUAUAUGGUCAUUUCCUUUCAAACAAUCUACUUCCUGCUUCUGAAGAAAACGUUACAGUUGAAAGAUUUGUGAAAAUUUGAACUCGGAAGGUCGUGAGUUCAAAUCCCAGCCCUGCCAAACUGCCACUGCUGGGCCUUAACCCUUAAAUGCCCAGUUGUCUAAAUUAGAGAAAUGUAAGUUGCUCUGGAUAAGGGCAUCUGCCAAAUAAUAAUAAUAAUAAUAAUAAUAAUAUAUAAAUAAAUAAAUAAAUAAAUAAAUGAUCCAUCACUUGGUAGUAUAAAUGGAAAUACAGGAAGUGUAUUCAGAAAUGUGGCAGGCAGAUAUUCACAGCUGGAGAGGAGCUCUGCCAUGUUUCCUUUGCUGUCUCUUUUUGUUAUGAAGGGAAUGACCAGCAGAGGGCGCUACUGACUUCUUAAAUAUCUGUUGCACAAAGAACUCGUUGAGCAUGUGAAGACAUGAUGGCAGCCGUUUUAGAAGAGAUUCUCACCGCCAUUUAAUGGUUUCAACAAGGUGAUGUUAAAAGUAUUGAGUAAACCGAUCACUGUCUCGCUGUUCUGUGGGCAAUUUGUAUACACCUGUAUAAGGUAGUAUGGUAUUGUAUAGAAUGGUAUAGUGUGGUAUUGUAGUAUGGUAUGCGCCUUGUAUAAUCAGAGUAAAUGCAUUGACUGCACAGAGUGAAGAGAUUUUCAGUUAUAUUCUUUGAUUAUGUGCAUGCAUCAAAGUGUAAGUUAAUAUUUAAUUUAUAUAUGAGGAUUACACUGUUUUUUGUCAGUUAUUAAGUCACCUGGUUGAUUCUGUAUUCAGACCACUUUGUCAAUUGAGAAUUUUUUAUCUUUAUAUAAAAAGAUAUAUAUUUGAUGUAAUAUUACUGUUGCAUAUGGUGUGGAUAAUGAUGUUAGUUUGUGUAACUUGACAGGUGUUUGUCAGUGUUUCUGAGGUGUGAUUCAUACUUAUUAUUGGAACUUCUCUAAUUAUUUGCACUUUAUCUGUUAAGGAGUAAAAUUCUACCUGUUAUGAUUUCAGGAAAGUCAUAUUAGUGCUUAAUGUUCUUUAUAGAAUUAGAGCUGUGAUUUCAAUAGUGUUUUUCUUUCUAAAGUAACCACACCUUGAUCUACAUGUUGAGAUGAAUUCUGAAAUAAAGAACUAAAAUGGGAA